GCGCUUUGAUUUUCGGCGCCGGUUGCGUU
rnacentral:sRNA from 1 species